GACGAACGCUGGCGGCGUGCUUAACACAUGCAAGUCGAACGGAAAGGCCCCGCUUUUGUGGGGUGCUCGAGUGGCGAACGGGUGAGUAACACGUGAGUAACCUGCCCUUGACUUUGGGAUAACUUCAGGAAACUGGGGCUAAUACCGGGUAGGAGCUCCUGCUGCAUGGUGGGGGUUGGAAAGUUUCGGCGGUUGGGGAUGGACUCGCGGCUUAUCAGCUUGUUGGUGGGGUAGUGGCUUACCAAGGCUUUGACGGGUAGCCGGCCUGAGAGGGUGACCGGCCACAUUGGGACUGAGAUACGGCCCAGACUCCUACGGGAGGCAGCAGUGGGGAAUAUUGCACAAUGGGCGGAAGCCUGAUGCAGCAACGCCGCGUGCGGGAUGACGGCCUUCGGGUUGUAAACCGCUUUCGCCUGUGACGAAGCGUGAGUGACGGUAAUGGGUAAAGAAGCACCGGCUAACUACGUG
rnacentral:rRNA from 1 species